CCUACGGGUGGCAGCAGUGAGGAAUAUUGGUCAAUGGCCGGAAGGCUGAACCAGCCAAGCCGCGUGAAGGACGACGGUGCCAAGCAUUGUACACUUCUUUUGUCAAAGGACAAAAUCAGGCUCGAGAGCCUGACCGCGUGUACUUGAAGAAAAAGCAUCGACUAACUCCGUGCCAGCAGCCGCGGUAAUACGGAGGAUGCGAGCGUUAUCCGGAUUUAUUGGGUUUAAAGGGUGCGUAGGCGGACUGUUAAGUCAGCGGUAAAAGCCCGGGGCUCAACCCCGGCGAACCGUUGACACUGGCUGACUUGAGAUGUCGAGAGGUAUGCGGAAUGCGCAGUGUAGCGGUGAAAUGCUUAGAUAUUGCGCAGAACUCCGAGUGCGAAGGAAGCAUACCGGCGGCGAUCUGACGCUGAGGCACGAAAGCGUGGGUAUCGAACAGGAUUAGAUACCCGAGUAGUC
rnacentral:rRNA from 1 species